GAAAAACAUUAUUAUAUAUAUAAAGGGCUUUUGCCAAGGAAAACACCAAAUAGAGUGAAAGGCAGUAAUUGAUUCUGCUUAGCCUCUCGUGAAACAGGAAAAGAGCAAUCAAUUAUUCGUCCAGUGAAAGACUACCAAACGGAGGGAUUUUGAUCGUAAAAUUUCUUCCGGACUUAAGAGAAUGCAGGUGACAGUGAGGAUCGCGUUGGCUAGAGGAUCCGAGUAGCAUAUUCCUGAGAACGCAGGUGAUGGUGAGGAUCACGUUGGCUGGAGGAUCCGAGUAGCAUAUUCCUGGUGAGCCCCACAAUUGUUCGCAUGGGCUAUAGUUUAUUUAUUCGUUAUGUUUCUUUUUGUUGAAAACUCUUAGUUUGCUCCAUAGUCAUGUCUUUAGAGUUUUGAAUCUUUCAUUAUUUUGGAUUUGUGGACUAUUGGAUUUCCUCUCAUGUUUUGGAGAUGGAUUUUAUGCUGUCAUUUGGUGGUGUUGGUGACUUUUUGAUCAUUUGUGGUGGAUUGUGUUGAUAUUGUUGAAGUGUUAGUUGUGGUGCUGUUGAUUUGAGACAGAGAAUUUUUCUUGAUAUGCCCAAAAACAAAGGAAAUUCUGCUCGAUUUUCUAUAGAAUUCUGACGAGGGUUGCUUUGGAGUCCUAAACUCCUUAGCGCCGGUCAUUAUCCUAUUUUGGGUCGUGACAUUGUAAUAGCAAAUUAUGCAAUAGACAAGUCAAAUUAACAAAAUUGUUAUCAUGUACUAGUUUUCAAUGAAGACCACUUCUGAUCUA